rnacentral:rRNA from 1 species
UACGUAGGGAGCAAGCGUUGUCCGGAAUCAUUGGGCGUAAAGCGCGCGUAGGUGGCCAUGUAAGUCCGCUGUGAAAGUCGGGGGCUCAACCCUCGGAUGCCGGUGGAUACUGUCGAGCUUGAGUACGGAAGAGGCGAGUGGAAUUCCUGGUGUAGCGGUGAAAUGCGCAGAUAUCAGGAAGAACACCCGUGGCGAAGGCGGCUCUCUGGGACGGUACUGACGCUGAGACGCGAAAGCGUGGGAGCGAACAGGAUUAGAACCUUGUA